rnacentral:rRNA from 1 species
AGAUUGAACGCUGGCGGCAGGCCUAACACAUGCAAGUCGAGCGGCAGCACGGGUACUUGUACCUGGUGGCGAGCGGCGGACGGGUGAGUAAUGCCUAGGAAUCUGCCUGGUAGUGGGGGAUAACGCUCGGAAACGGACGCUAAUACCGCAUACGUCCUACGGGAGAAAGCAGGGGACCUUCGGGCCUUGCGCUAUCAGAUGAGCCUAGGUCGGAUUAGCUAGUUGGUGAGGUAUGGCUCACCAAGGCGACGAUCCGUAACUGGUCUGAGAGGAUGAUCAGUCACACUGGAACUGAGACACGGUCCAGACUCCGUACGGGAGCAGCAGUAGGGGAAUAGUGGACAAGUGGGAACGAAGCCUGAUCCGAGCC